GCCUGCUGCAGUGAGCCUGCUGGGAGGCUGGGUACAUCUGCAAACCUUGAAGAGGAAACUCUGUCAUAUAGUGGUGUGAAGUGUGCCCAUGUCACGAGGGAGAAAGUCCAGGAUCAGAAAUUGCUGAGUUUGUGAAAACUACGGAAGAGGAAGUGUCAAAGUUCUGCCCUGUGAUGGCUCUCUUGUGAUCCUGAAUAUAAGUACAAGCCAAAAACUGCUUAUGCACAAGCCAUGAAUAAUGAUGUCCUAGAGAGCCUGGUCAGGAGCAGCCUGAAGUUCUGCCUCUGCAUGAUUUGGCAGAAGUAACCCUGGAUUCUGUAGGAAUCUCACCAUGGCAACAUGAAGAGCAGCAGAAGCCCAAGGUCACUGUGAUGAGUUGAGGAAGAAGGAGAUUCGACUGCAUUUUGGAAGUCACAGAACACUUUUUGAGCUGCAGCAAGUUUCACUGACAGAAAGCUGAAGAUAGGAUCUCACUCAGGCUUGUGUUUCAAUCAGCAAGGAGUAGGAGGGGCACCAGGUGGGUAGGGUUAGUGCAUGUGGCAGGACAGUGUCACUGUGUCAGCAGGAGCAUGCUGUGCCAGUCCCGCCUGACUUCUGGAGGAAGUGAUACAGAAUCUCAGGCAGCCUCUAGCUCCCACUGACUGCCAGCCUUGGCCUCUUCCUGCAGCCCCAACAAGCUCAGGCUGCCACAGCCCUGCAUCUUAAUCAUCCGUCGCAUUUUGCAGCAGCGACCAUAUUCAGUGACACUUGGAACAGCUGGGCUUUUGGAUCUCCACCCAAUCAGCAAGGCCUGUGGUUGAUUCACUGUCUCCCAUCCAAUUCCUUUUGUCCCAGACCCUGCUUGGGCAGAUACUCUCUGUGCCCUUCCUUAGGACAAUUUUACAGCUGGGCUUUGGGAGCUGAGAGAUUCCCGGCUCAGAGUUGUGCUAUAAGCUCACUGUUAACAGGACAGCACUGUGCUUCUUCCUAAUUGAGGCUGCUGUCCACCGUGGUUAGGAUGUAGAUCCCCGCUUACUCUGCCACUACUGCAUCAUUUCACUGAAACCCUGACAAUGAUGAUGGUCAUGAUAACAGGAAAACUGUUGAUGAGUGAAGAAGGAUCCCAGGAGUAAUUCUGUGUGUUUAACAAGGGCUGUUUUGAAAAUUUCCAUAUAUGCAAUGAUCCAGAAAAAGAGGCAGACAGGGAGAAAGCGCCAAACUGAGAAAGCGCCAAGAAGCGGCUGAAAAUCCAGGGAAACACCAGCAAUGAGAUACCACUGGACAUUAAUUCAACAAAAUCAGCUUUCAGACUCAUAGAUACAAGGGCUGAUGUGGAGCAACUGACACUCCCAUGUAUGGCUGGUGGGGAAGCAAAAUGAUGGAGUCAUUUUGGAAGGCAGGUAUCUUUUUGAGGGAUAAACAUACAGUUGACACAUGACUGAGCAAUUCCAUUGUCAGGUCUUCUUGACCCCAUGGAAGUGAGGGCAUGCACCUCAUCUGAAAGUGUUCAGAGCAGCUUUAUUAAAAACAGCCAAACACGGAAGUCACUCAGA